AUUGAUUAUUAAUCAUAAAUUCCAUGCAUACUCAAAGUAAUAUUCUUGAUACUCAAGAUUCCACUUCAGUAUUCCUUUCAGCACAAUAUUCAACCUAUAUAAAUAGAUGAUGAAGAGGUUGUAGCAGAACGGGGUCUGAACAAUUUCACUAUUUAAAAAUACAGAACAUCAUUAAAUCCGGAAUUUGUAAAUUUAUGCUGAAUGAGUAGAAGCACCUACUGAGAUAUCUAGAGGUCAUGGGGAAGGUCAUUCAGUCAUGUAAUUUUCCUACGUGUGUAUAAUUCAGUGACUUACAAUUGGUAUUUGUGAAACAGAUGUAUGGUACAUUCAUUUUGGAAAUAAAUUCCUCAUAUACAAUGGUUUCACCAUAGUGGUUGUCUGACCUUUUAAAGAACACUCAACAUCGUAUUUGUAUGUAAAAGUUCUGAAAAAUUUCAUCAUUUUUAAAUUAAAUUUUUCAAUGUCAUUUAUGAACACAGUUAAUCUUUUUAACUUUAUAAUUUGUGAGUGAUGUAUGGAUUCAUUGAACUGUUGUGUGCUUUGAUUUAAAUAAAAACCUGUUUUAUUGCCUUAAAAUCAGCACAAGGUUUAGCCACAAUGUAUAAAUUAAUUUGGGGUUGAUGCCCUCUACUUAUAAAGCUCAAUUAUGUAAUAUCAUGAUUUGAUAUCAUCUUAUCUUUCACCUGUACCUGCUUUCACAACAGCCAUGGUAUGAACCGUCUACACUCAUUUCAUCCUCAAAUCAAUUUCUAAAUCAAUAAAACAUAGUUCAUUUGUAUUUUACCUGACUAGAGAUAGCGUAAAAAAUAUAACUAUUGCUGAAGUUUUUAAACAGUAUUACUAUUUAUCUGAAAUGACGAUACAGAAGCUGAAUACAUAGCACCAAGUUUAUUACGCUAUGCAUGUAACAGGAAAUUUGCUUUAAGGUAAAUUUCUAAUGUAAACAUUUUUUUUUACAUUUACCCCAUAGGAUGUUGUUAUUGAUAGCUGUUUCACAAAAGAAAAUAUAUUAUUACGCCUCUCUAGUAUUUUCAGAAUAUGACAAGGAAAUAUUCUAAAACAGUACCAUUCAAUAAAAUUAAAGUUUGUUUAAAUCAACAUUUUUUACUAACAAUCUAUUUUAAUGUCCUGUGUCUUAUAACAAUGCAACGGCACUUACGUGUUUUGAUGACUUACUACUUCAUCAGGUAUCAGUGUAUAAGCAUUUGUAAGAAGCAGACACAUUGUGUGAUGCUGAUCAUAUUUGAGUAACACUGAUUCUCGGGUGUGGUAAAAGUGCUUAAUGAAUGACACAAGUGUUACACGAGUUAUAUGUCUCAUGGAUUGUUCAGUUAAUAUGUAUACCGUAUUGUGUUGCUUGUGUAAUAACUUUUUGAGUUCAUGUUGGAAUUUUCUCUCUUUUGUUGCCUAUAUAUAUACAUAUAUAAAAGAUUUUUUGUUAAGCUUCAUCAUUUCUUGUUUACUAUUGUUAUAUGAGAAAAUAAAGGUAAUUACAUGAUGACCUUA